CUUCGGCCCGAGUUGUAAUUUGCAGAGGAUGUUUAUGGUGCGGUACCUUCCGAGUUCCCUGGAACGGGACGCCACAGAGGGUGAGAGCCCCGUCUGGAUGGAUACCAAACCUGUGUUAAACUCCUUCAACGAGUCGAGUAGUUUGGGAAUGCUGCUCUAAAUGGGAGGUAAAUCUCUUCUAAAGCUAAAUAUUGGCCAGAGACCGAUAGCGCACAAGUAGAGUGAUCGAAAGAUGAAAAGCACCUUGAAAAGGGGGUUAAACAGUACGUGAAAUUGUUGAAAGGGAAGCGUUUAUGACCAGACUUGUGCCGUGUGGCUCAUCCGGGGUUCUCCCCGGUGCACUCCACGCGGCUCAGGCCAACAUCGGUUCUCGUCGGAGGAUAAGAAUAGUAGGAACGUGGCCUCUUUCGGGGGGUGUUAUAGCCUAUUAUACGAUACUCUGAUGGGGACCGAGGACCGCGCUUCGGCUAGGAUGUUGGCGUAAUGGUCAUUAGCGACCCGUCUUGAAACACGGACCAAGGAGUCGUCCAUUAGAGCGAGCGUUUGGGUGUAAAACCCGCACGCGUAAUGAAAGUGAAAAUUUAGGUGAGAGCUUCGGCGCAUCAUCGACCGAUCCUGAAGUUUACGGAUGGAUUUGAGUAAGAGUUUUAACGGACGGACCCGAAAGACAGUGAACUAUGCUUGAAUAGGGUGAAGCCAGAGGAAACUCUGGUGGAGGCUCGCAGCGGUUCUGACGUGCAAAUCGAUCGUCAAAUUUGAGCAUGGGGGCGAAAGACUAAUCGAACUGUUUGUUUUUGCUACUAGGCAGUUAAGAGUCUUCCAGUAAUGGAAGGCUAGUGGGUAAUUUAUUUACCUGCGACACCGUCAAAUUGCGGGGACGUCCUGUCAAGUCAAUAAUACCGCCCCUUGCUGAAAAGUAAGCGUGGCACCAGGUGUAACGGCCUGUGGUAAGGUAAUAAUUUAUUGAAUAGGGAUAAUCCGCAGCCAAACCCUAAACCCCUUUGCGGGCAUGGGUGCAGUUCACAGACUAGAUGUCGGUGGGCCUAGGGAGUUCUCGAGAACCUAGGCUUAAGAUAUAGUCGAGACCUUGUAGAGAUAUAAGGAGUUUGCUAUCUUAAUAAGGGACUGACUACAGAGUUAGUAUCCUUAAAUUAAGGACAGACAACUAGUUCGCUAGUAGCUGGUUACCGCCGAAGUUUCCCUCAGGAUAGCAGUGUUGACCUUCAGUUUUAUGAGGUAAAGCGAAUGAUUAGGGACUCGGGGGCGCUUAUUAGCCUUCAUCCAUUCUCAAACUUUAAAUAUGUAAGAAGCUCUUGUUUCUUAAUUGAACGUGAGCAUACGAAUGUACCAACACUAGUGGGCCAUUUUUGGUAAGCAGAACUGGCGAUGCGGGAUGAACCGAACGGGGGGUUAAGGCGCCAGAAUGUACGCUCAUCAGACACCACAAAAGGCGUUAGUACAUCUUGACAGCAGGACGGUGGCCAUGGAAGUCGGAAUCCGCUAAGGACUGUGUAACAACUCACCUGCCGAAUGUACUAGCCCUGAAAAUGGAUGGCGCUCAAGCGUACUGCCCAUACCCCCCCUUCAGGGUAGAAACGAUGCC
rnacentral:rRNA from 1 species